rnacentral:rRNA from 1 species
UUGCGGGCUACCUGCAGUCGAAGGAAACAGGGAGCAGCUUGCUGCUCUGCUGACGAGUGCCGGACGGGUGAGUAAUGUCUGGGAAACUGCCUGAUGGAGGGGGAUAACUACUGGAAACGGUAUCUAAUACCGCAUAACGUGUUCCGACCAAAGUGGGGGACCUUCGGGCCUCAUGCCAUCACAUGUGUCCAAAUGGGAUUAGCUUGUAGGUGAGGUAACGGCUCACCUAGGCGACGAUCCCUAGCUGGUCUGAGAGGAUGACCAGCCUCACUGGAACUGAGACCCGCGCCCAAACUCCCACCGGAGGCAGCCUUGGUGAAUAUUGUCCUAUGGGUCCAAUCCUGAUGCAUCCAUGCCCCCGGUCAUGACCAAUGCCUUGGGGCUUGCUAAGCUACCAUCCUCGUCGGGACAAAAGCGAUUCUGUCCUAAAUACCCCUGCGUUUUGUUCCCCCCCCACGCACGAGAAGAGCCCUUUUCUUAUAUUUCCCUGCCCCCCCUCUCCCCGACAAUAUAUUUCGUGAGCGUGUUCUCUCCACCCUUCAUUUUUGUAAGUUACUGUGGGCUAACCAAUAGUAGCUCCCGCCCCCCCAGUACAAUGCACAAAUUCCAUAUAUGCUCAUUAAUCCCUUUCACGCACUUUGAACCUUUUAAGUAGAAUAUGCCUACUUUUUAACACUGGUGUCCUGUCUCCUUAAUUUUCUCCCCCCAAACCCUACCGCUGCAUGCAAUUUUCCACCCUAUUUCCUGCCUGCCUAAAUAAAAAAUUAUCUAUUACACCCUAUGUUACUUAUCGUGUUUGCUUCUCAACUUUUUUUCCCCCUUUCUUACCAAAAACAUUCUACCUACUCCUUGCCCCCAAAAGCUAUUGGUGGCAUCACCUACCUCCAAUAUUUUAAACG